rnacentral:rRNA from 1 species
UACGAAAGGGGCUAGCGUUGUUCGGAAUUACUGGGCGUAAAGCGCACGUAGGCGGCUUUCCAAGUUGGGGGUGAAAUCCUGGAGCUCAACUCCAGAAUUGCCUUCAAAACUGGAUGGCUAGAGGAUGUGAGAGGAUAGUGGAAUUCCGAGUGUAGAGGUGAAAUUCGUAGAUAUUCGGAAGAACACCGGUGGCGAAGGCGACUGUCUGGCACAUUUCUGACGCUGAGGUGCGAAAGCGUGGGGAGCAAACAGG